rnacentral:rRNA from 1 species
CUACGGGUCGCUCCAGUGAGGAAUAUUGCACAAUGGGGGGAACCCUGAUGCAGCAACGCCGCGUGGAGGAUGACGCAUUUCGGUGUGUAAACUCCUUUUAUAUGUCAAGAAAAUGACGGUAGCAUAUGAAUAAGCACCGGCUAACUCCGUGCCAGCAGCCGCGGUAAUACGGAGGGUGCAAGCGUUACUCGGAAUCACUGGGCGUAAAGGACGCGUAGGCGGGUUAGAAAGUCAGGUGUGAAAUCCUACAGCUUAACUGUAGAACUGCACUUGAAACUUCUAAUCUAGAGUAUGGGAGGGGGAGAUGGAAUUAGUGGUGUAGGGGUAAUAUCCGUAGAUAUCACUAGGAAUACCUAAAGCGAAGGCGAUCUCCUGGAACAUUACUGACGCUAAGGCGUGAAAGCGUGGGGAGCAAACAGGGUUAGAUACCCGUGUAGUC